rnacentral:lncRNA from 1 species
CAGUGUCCAUCUAACCACAUUACAGAGCUACAUAUAAGAAUGUUCUUCAUGAUGUUGAUACGCUACCAACUCCGACAACACAACUAUCACAUGAAGCUUGUUGGAGGAGAAAGAGACCCAGAUGCCAAUUAUAAGCUCAAGACUCCUAAAAUUUGCUUUCUGGUUCUACUAGCGAUUCAGUCCAUGUGCAAUGCAUGGUAUAUAUGUGAUGCAUUACCAAAUUUUUUUUUAGAGUUCUAGUUUAAUUAAACCAUAUAUGGAUCUGUAUAUAUUCUAAUUAAUUACUCAUGCUCAUUAUUUUUCCUAAUUUUUCUUUGGAGAGGCAAUCUUUGAUACUUACGCUAUGAGGAUUCAUAUGGAAUACCUUAGUGUGCAUUGCACCAGCAUAUAUAUUACUGUGAAGACAUAUUAAUCAUUCGAGUCUGAGCCCUUUGGGCCUUUCAGGUGGUGCCCAUGAACACUCGAAUCUUGCAAUACGAAGCAGCAAACUCUUUAACAACUUAAUGACACUUGCCAAUAAUUCAACCUUACACAGCAUGAGUAAUUACUAUAAUUUUGCAGCUACUUCUCUUGGCUCACUUUUGAGCCCAUUUCGAUUACAUAGUUUGGAAUCGAACCUCAAAACGUCUGUUGUUUAGUCAUCUCUCCAUGCACAAAGGUUACAAGCUUUUUCACCAAAUUUGGUAGUGGAGCAAUGUGACCAAUCCAUGAAAUGGAAGCGAACAAUUCCCCCUCACAUUUUAUGGAUGUGAUCUGACAGCUUUGCCUUUUUUUUCAAAUAUGUAAGAGUACAAUACUUUGGGAAAAGAUGGUGUGGAUCAUGUGUUGUUCCGGUAUGAUGGUACCCAGUGGGUGCCCCAGACUUGAUUCUUCUCUCUUCUUCUCUUUUUUUCUUUUUUUCUUUUCUUUUCUUUCUUUUUUUUUUUGCUUUGUUUUUUCUGGUUAAGGGAGGGAGGGACACCAAUAAAGUGGCUACUCCAACCUCUCUCUUUUGGAGAUAGAUAGAUAGAUAGAGAGAGAGAGAGAGAGAGAGAGAGAGAGAGAGAUAUAUAUCUACUANNNNNNNNNNNNNNNNNNNNGAGAGAGAGAGAGAGAGAGAGGAACUAUAUUAUCACUUCUUAAAAGAUAUAUAACCAUCUCAAUCAAGAGUUGUUUAAAAGUGAUAUCAGAACUUGUGGACUCUUUUUCACUUAUCCACUGGAAGAAAGCUUAAAUAAUUAGUGCAGUUGCUCUCUUAAUUUAGUGGCUAACAUGAGGACCAAAGUUCGGUCUUAAGAAAAAUUAGACAGUGUGAAUAUAUCAUGUUCAAUAUGAUUUAAAUAACUAACACUUCGAAUGACUACUGAGAUAAAAAAUAAGAAUAUUAUCUUGGAAGAAAAUAUGGUCUGCACAAAAUCAUAUAAUUUUUUAAUCUAAAAUUAAAAACUAAAUAAACAAAAGCAUUUUAAUGAGGCAUUACUCCAUGUUUAGAGAGGAGAGAGAAGCUCAUGAAGUGAAGGCGAAAGGGCACUAAAAUCCCCCAAACCAAGAAACACCUAUUGGCUAAAUUAAGGGACAAUUACCACCACCUAUGGCACACAAAAAACCAGAUCUCAGAUCCCUAAUUAAGGAAAAAAAAAUCGUUACUUCUUUCAAGAAGAAAAAGGUAGCUCCUUAUAAUAUUUUACUUCUUUCUCUGUAAGAUAUAGUAACAAGGAAAAAACUAACAUUCUUUUUCCCUGGAAGUAGAAUGUUUCUCAUCCCCUUCUUGAAGGAUGAGUGGAUCACCAAAAGGCCAGCUAAGUCACCAUAUUUCAACACACCAUCAAGUUAAAAGCAACAUAUAACCAAGAUAACACUUAAAACGAAGUAAAACGGAUACAAAGAUCCGUAAGUAACAUGAGUCCAUUAAUGUCUCAUAAAAUAUAUAUUGAGCUGUAUCUUAAAAUGACCUACAUUUUCCAAUAACAAAGCUUUUUAUUCAGAUCAAGCAGUGUGCUACUAUGUAUCUAUAUAAUCCUACUGCAGAGUUGUCAAGGAUCACCGCGAUCACUCCAGCACAAGAGCAUCACGAUGCAUCGGCGGAGUAUGUAGAAUCUGGCCCUUUGCUCCCUCACCAACCGCCGGCACCUCCGGCUAAACGAGCAGCACUUUAAGCUCUUCCCUCUCUUAGCCAUUCCCACCUUUCCCUUUCCCCUUUCUUCACCCCCUAAGUUUGCCACUUGAACUGAGGAAGAGUGGGAGGAGGUAAGAUAGAAAGGGAGAGAUGAUGGUCUCUUAUAACGUAUACCGGUGGCUGCUCUUUAUGGAUCUAAGAUCUCACUGUUCAGAGAAAAGAGAGACUGAAGGGCUUCCUUUAUUCCCCUCUACCAUACCCUUGCAAUGGUGCGAGUCCUCCACACCAUUAUCCAAG